UGCAUCGCCGCUGGUACUGGACUGGUAUUAAAGCGUAUGAAUGUUGGCUGCUCGUGUACGGGAAAACACGGGUGUUGGCUGCUCGCACGAUAUCUGCACGGGAUUGGCUGUGUGCACGAAGCAUGGACACGGGUGUCUAGUACCAGCUCCUAACGAUCUCAGCUUGAUCAUUGAACAAGCAGUGGAGAAAGCCGAACCCAACACGGUGAAAGGCAACGUCAGAAUUACCAGCGAAAGAGCAAAAA